UUGUCUUACUCAGAAAGUAGGAAAAUCAGCAUUAGAGAACUGAAGUUUUGCUCCCUGAGUGAUAAAGACUAAAGGAAAAAUUAUUAACUCUAAUGUCCUUCUGUUAGUCAGGGGAGCUAGAGGAGUUAAUUCUGAACACUAAGUGAUGAUAACUAACAUAAAAAUAGCAUCUCAAUUUUUUUUCCAUGGAAUUUAUAUUCACAGAGUUCCUGGAAUAAAUUAAAAGGUGUGCUGCCUUGAACAAUGAACAAGAAGGCCCUCACUUGGUGUUUAGUGAAUGGGAAUAGUUUAUUCUGGGUACUUCAUUUUAUCAUGUGGCUUAUUUAAAACCAAGUAUGUGAAUUAAGGUUUUGUCUAAUGAUUACAGUAAUAUACUUCAGCUGAGAAAGCAGUUAACAAAUGAUACUGCAAGCUGGAUGAAUUCCUAUAAUGUAUUACUGUAACAGCAGAGAUCAUAUAGUUGCAAACAGGAAGGGGAAUAUAAGAUGCUGCUGACUAUAUGUUGUCAUGCUUUAUUAUAAAAAGAAGGAAGAAGUAUAAAGCAAGAAGAUCAUUGAGUUUUUUUUAGAAAAUGACCAGUAUACUUAAAUGAGAAAGAACUAUUGAUAGAUUCAGAGCAGGUUUUAGCAUUGGGGGUAUAAAUUAUAUCAGAGGCAGCCACUGUGAUUUUGUUUCAGUACCUUCUAUAAAUUUGGGCUUCUUUUUGCAAUAGGUAACACAGUUUAUUUUCUCCUCU
rnacentral:lncRNA from 1 species